ACUCUUAUAGUUUAUUUAAAACAUUAUAUUUUCAUUAUAAAAAUAAUAAUUUAUUUAAGGGAU
rnacentral:tRNA from 1 species